rnacentral:lncRNA from 1 species
AGUUUUUAGGAGGACGAGUCAGCCUGCCCAGCUGACUGCGCUUAGAGGGACCACAGUUGAAGGUUGAGAUACAAGCUCUAGGGCCUUGCUGCUCAAAGUACGAGCCAUUGACCAGCAGCAUCCACAUCAUUGGGAGCUUGCUAGAAACACAGUCUUGCACCUCGCCCCAGACAUCCGGAAUCAGAAUCUGCAGAACAUGCGAACUUAACUGCAAUGAGAUCUGCAAGGGAAUGCACAUUAAAGUUGAUGAAUUCUGUUCUCAGGUGACAUCAUUUAUGUGUCUAUUUAAAAAAAAGUACAGUUUAAUUUUAAACCAUACUCCACC